GAAACGAACGCUGGCGGCGUGGAUAAGACAUGCAAGUCGAACGGGACUAAAUCUGUAGCAAUACAGGUUUAGUUUAGUGGCGAACGGGUGCGUAACACGUGGGCAAUCUGCCGAGAAGUGGGGGAUAGCUCGCCGAAAGGCGAAUUAAUACCGCAUAUGAUCAGUGAAGACAUCUUCACGACAUCAAAGCCGGGGCAACCUGGCGCUUCUUGAUGAGCCCGCGGCCUAUCAGCUAGUUGGUGAGGUAACGGCUCACCAAGGCUAUGACGGGUANCUGGUCUGAGAGGACGACCAGU
rnacentral:rRNA from 1 species